rnacentral:rRNA from 1 species
GUGUCAGCAGCCGCGGUAAGACGAACCUUGCAAACGUUAUUCGGAAUUACUGGGCUUAAAGGGUGCGUAGGCGGUGCAGAAAGUCAGGUGUGAAAUACCUCAGCUUAACUGAGGAAUUGCGCCCGAAACUACUGUGCUAGAGGAAGACAGAGGUAAGCGGAACUUAGGGUGGAGCGGUGAAAUGCGUUGAUAUCCUAAGGAACACCGGUGGCGAAAGCGGCUUACUGGGUCUUAUCUGACGCUGAGGCACGAAAGCUAGGGUAGCGAACGGGAUUAGAUACCCCCGUAGUCC